rnacentral:lncRNA from 1 species
GUAGGUGAUUACAUCAGGAGGCACACCUUUCUGGAUCAUAAUUGCAAUCACAUCUUCUGCAUCUGUUGUCCUCCCUUCUUUGCAGUGUGCGUCGACCAAUAUAGUAUAGGUGUGCAGAUCAGGAGAGAUCUUCCUAACACCCAUCUCACUUAACAACAGCUCAAUGUCCUCCCAUCGGCUGGAGAUGCAAAGGCCUUGAAGUAAUAUGUUAUAGGUUAUAACAUUAGGUGAUAUGCCUUUGUGAGUCAUUUCAGACACAAGAACCAAUGCAUGAUCGACUCGUCUCUCUUUGCACAAAGAAUCAAUAAUAGAGGUAUAAGUUAUCACAUCGGGUUUCAAACCUAUCUGCUCCAUCUUUCUUAACAACUUGAGAGCCAUGGAGGUAUUUGAAGUUUUGCAGAGACCAUCAAUGAUGGUGUUAUACGUAACUACACUGGGCUGAAUUUCUUGAAAUCUGAUAAGCUUGUUAAACAAAUCCCCAGCCUCCAAAGGCCUGUCUUGAGAUAGAAGGCCCUUGAUAAGAGUGUUGUAGGUAAAGGCAUCGGGCACCCAACCACUCUUGAUGAUUCCAGCAAGCAAUGAAAAGGCAUAAUCAAGGGUAUCCAAGUGACAACAGGAAUGAAUGGCAGUAUUAAAGGUAACAAUAUCAGCAGGAAUGCUUAAAACACGCAAUUCUCUAAACAUGGAGAUAGCUACAGAGUACUCUUUCAUGCGAACAAGGGCGGUUAAGAGUUGGUUGAAAUCCACAACAGAAAGCCCAGAUUUCAGACGGAGCAUUUGAUCGAACACAAGAAGAGCAUCAUCGAGUUUAUUGAAACCAACCUUGGAUUUACGAUAGAGUAAUAGUUUAAGCUCGGGAUGAGUGGUAGAUGGAGAAGGAAUAAAGGGGGGUUUGGGUUGUGAAUCAGGGUUAGGCUUAGUAGAGAAAAGAAGAAAAUGAGAAUGAAAAAGAGAAUUUGGGGUGCUUACAAUUGGAGGCAUCAAAGUGAAUGAAGUGAGAGCAUGAAAAUGAGCAGUGGCUAGUGUUUGAGCUCCUCUCUUCACCAACAACAUUGCUUAACCCUCUUUGAGAUGCCAAGAAACUGAGUAGCUGGGACUUGAGCUUAAGGCCGCUCCUUGUGAUACUUUCUUUCUGUUUGCGUGAAAUUGACUUAAAUUCAGAAAUGAGAUAAACUUGCUAGAGUUGUUAGCGAACAGGGCUGUUCGCGAACAAGCUCGAGCUCUGCUCGAUAAAAGCUCGGUUCGACUCGGUUCGUUAAGAAUUCGAGCUCGAACACAUAAAUGUGUUCGUUAAGAAAACGAGCUCGAGCCGAGCUUUUAGUGUAUUCGGCUCGAACUCGUUCGGCUCGAGCUCGGCUCGUUAAAACUCGAAAAAAUACAAUAUUUUCACGAUAAUUUCGUAAUAUAUAUAUGUUAUUGAACGCCGAAUUCAACAUAUAAUAUAUCAAAUCGAUCAGGAGAAUUUUAACUAUAAUAUGGUACCAUCCAAACACACUAAAAAUUUUAUUUGGCUUACUAUUUUAAAAGUAAAGUAGCGGUUUGACCUUAUUUUUCUUUGGCUCGGCUCGGCUCGUAUUUGUUCGUGAACAAACUCGUGUUCGGCUCGUUAGUUAACGAGCUCGAGCUCGAACAUAUUUUUUUGCUCAGCUCGGUUCGAUAGGAAAAAAUUUAAAGCUCGGCUCGGCUCUGUUCGUGAACAGCCCUAGACUUGCAGUAAUUUUUUGUUAAUUGGUAUUAAUUGGUUACUAAAUUCGUUAAAAUAAUUUUUUGAGGAAGUUAAUUAUAUACACUCUAAAUUAGAUAAGUUUAUAAAAUAAAUAAAAAUAUAUUAUAGGAAAACAAUCAUAUUUUUCACUAUAUUUCAUAAAAAUGGCCAAACUUUUAUUUUACAUUCAUCUUUUAAAAUGUAAAUUAAAUCGAAUAUUAUUUUGUUAUUUUAAAAUUUUGAUUACAUUUAUAAGAUUUAAUUAAAAUACGACCACUACUAUAUAAUUUACUCAAUAAAUAUACAUAUUUAGAUACUACAUUUCCAAACACAUCACAUGAAAAAUUGUUAGAAACAUUACUAGUUAUAAACAAGCUUAUACAUUUUUAAUCCAGAUGACCUUUCUAGUCAUGGUCAUGUACUCAGGUAGCACUACCACAAAUAGCAGUAUCACAGUUGUGAACAAUGAUAUCAAAUUAUCAAAGAUGCUAUGUAAUCAUUCAUGAAUUUAAAAUAUCAAUAUUGCAUCAAAAGAUUUAAAAUCAGGUUCAUAAAUGCUAUGUAAUCAUUCAUGAAUUUAUUUAAGAAGGUGAGAGAUAAGUCAUGAAAGCUAACGUGGGCGUUUGUUUAGGACUUAUAAGUCCAGCUUCUGGAUUAUAAGCUAGGAGAACUUAUUCCUACCGUUUGUGUAAUAAGUCAAGAAGCACUUAUAAAAAGCUAGGAAUGCUAGCUUUUGUUUCGGUGCUUCUACUUAUUUACCAAACACUUUAAUCACUUAUAAGUCUUAUCUUGCUUCCAACUUCUACUCCACUUAUUUAUAUUAAACAAGAAGCACUUAUUUUAAGCUCACCCAAAAGCUAGGAAUGCUAGCUUUUGUUACAAUCCCCCUAUAUGCAUGAAGCCAAUUCCUUAAAACAAGCUUCAAGAAGUAUCUGUUGCAGCAUCUAUCUCCAGUAAAAGGCUUGUGAGGUGUAGUUGUCUGCAGUUGUCAAUUCAAUCACUUUAGCUUGUACCGGAAAAAGAAUUAAAAUUUGAAGAGUUGAUACAAACACAAGUUUUAAACUAAGAUUUGCUUUCUGAGAUUAAGUAACUUGUUCUUUCAAAAAAAAAAAACUUGUUGAAAUAGGCACUUACAAGAGUGUAUUACUUGACAAGUAUGCAUCUUACUGGAGACCCCUCAGCGCCAACCAAUUGACAGUAUAUGCCCCGGCUUCAACGUUAUCCAACUUGAGACCUUCGACGAGGAUAAUCUCCUGACAGAAUUUCAAAAUAAUUAAGUGAUGCCGAGACAAAUUAUAACAUUUGAUGGAUUGAUUUGCUUACUCUGCCUUCAAGAAAAACAUGGUAAGAAGGAAUCAGAUCAUCAUAGGCGGCAGCAGAUAAAUAAUCGACUCCUGCAAUAUGAAGAACAAGUAAAUCAAGCACCUUACCUCCAUGACUCUUACACAAGGGAAAGCACAACUUGAAAAUAGGAGUUUUGAUGAAUGAUUUGAUCUUACACACAAGUUUGAUGUCGGUGUUAUCCACCAGCAGUUGUGCACCGUCUUUAGUGAAGCCUACAUAGCUUGUGUCAAACUCCUUUUCCCACAUCAAGCGCCUAUUAAGAAAGAGGAAAAUCUGAACAAACAGAAAGUGACCAUUAACAAAUUCAGAGGCUUCAAGAUUUUAUAAAUGCACAGACAUGGAAGUGUUUAAUGUUCUAAUUAAAACGAGCUGCUGAAACACGUUGGGGAUCUCAUUAUGGUGUUAUAGAGAAUUUGAUUAUCAUGUUUCCUUCCGUAGUUGAUUUACUUGAAGUUGUGGAGAACACAGAUACACUUUCAGAUCAAAGGGCCGAAGCAAGUGAUUUGUUAGAUAUUAUUCAAAGUUAUGAAUUCACUUUCUUAUUGCAUCUCAUGAAAAGUGUGUUGGGGAUUACAAACGAGCUUUCACAAGCUCUGCAGAGAAAAGACCAGGACCUUAUUAAUGCCAUGGAUCUUGUUAAAUCAUCCAAGAUUAGGUUUCAAGACUUGAGAAAAAAUGGAUUGGAAUCAUUAUUGGAAGAAAUCAGAGAAUUCAGCAAUAAAAAUUUAAUAAGCAUUCCAAGAAUGGAAGAUACAUAUGUAGCCAGAGGGAGAUCAAGGCGCAGGGCCGAAGAGAUUAGAAAGGUAUAUUAUCGAACCAGUUUAUUCUAUACUGUGAUUGAUGCUGCUGUGUAUGAAUGGUCUGAAUCCAUCUGAAUCUUUCUCAGCCUUCGAUAAAAGAAAAAUUCUUAGAUUUGCUGAGUUUUAUCCUGCUGAGUUUUCUUCAACAGAUCUCGUUUUACUUGAAAAUCAGCUUCAAAACUACAUUGUUGAUGUGAAAAAUCAUACUGAUUUUUUGGAGUUAAAAGAAAUCAACGAUCUUGCUAGAAAAUUAGCGGAAACAAAGAAAAGUGCAGUGUAUCUGUUGGUCUUCGUACGUUUUAGUUUUUACUAAUGUUUGUCAUUAUAAUUGCAGAUGGAAGAUUCAUACGUUAUUUACCAUCAGUGUUGGCCACUUCUGCAUUGCUUCACGUUAUUCGUCAAGUAGAGCCUUCAAAUGCGGUUGAUUAUCAAAAUCAGCUUUUUAAUGUUCUCAAAUCCACCGAGGUUAGUAUAAUUUCAUAGUCUUUUUAAUUGUCUGUCUUCUCAUUCAUAUUGUUUCUUCAAUUGUAAGUUCAUCUUUGAUUGAAAUAAAAUCCCUCAUGUAUCGAGUGGAUGUGGCAGUAUAUUACAAUCAAUUAUCGUGUUAAUGACUAUAAAUGUAUACCAUUCACCUCCCACUGACCUAUCAUCAUUUGGUACCCGCCUUUUGGUCCCAUCAUUAUACGUUAUACCAUCUAAUAAAGAUUUUUUUUUAAUCUCUUGCAUUAUUAAAUUUUGACACCAUAUUAUACGCUUUACUUUCUAACGAAGAAUUUGUUAAACAUAGAAGUUCUCCAGCGUUAUUGAUCCUUGAAACUAUUUUUGUUUAGGAGAACAUAAGCGGAUGUUAUGAACUCAUUGGGAACAUUUUAACCACUUGCUGGAUUGAUCAAAAGAAGUCUCGCAAGCGCAAUUCUGAAGAAAUGCAAGACACCAAUAAUGAGACCAUUGACGUCUUCUAGUUUUUAAAGUUCAAAGAACUGUCUCGAGUCAUCAGUUUUGUUUUUGCAUGUUAACAGAACUUGUUAUUUUUUUUCUUUGUUUUUUAGAAAUUUGGAUUUUGGGAUUUAUAUCUAUACUUGCAAUACAAUAUGUUUGGACUUUGGACUAUUUGCAAUCUUGAUUGAGGGUGAUUUGUAGUUAUAAUUUUAUCAAGCUUUCAUCGCUUGCUGCUAAAGUCUUUACGGCUGCUGUUUUGGUUAUACUCAAGCCGGGACGUAUGCAGAAACAGUCUCUUUACUCUUCAAAAGUAGAGGAAAGGUUAAAUCUAUAUUCUUCCCAACUCCUGUUCUGUGAGCGGGAUACACUAGAUUGUUUGAUUUUACUUGAUACUAUCAGACUCUUUGAUUGCUGUUUUGAGUGUUUGGUAAAUGUACAUUGUCCCGGAUUUGAGUAUUUAGGGGCAAACAUAGUGGACUUGCUCCCUGUAGAUUAAAAGAGUCUCAGAGGACAAUGUGUUAAUACGGGCUCUUUUGAAAAUCCAAUCAAAUGUUCUUAUUUGCUUUGUAUUCUGUUUAGGAAGUUACUUGUACAUGUCAUAGUUGGGUUGAAAGUAGCAGAUGGGGAUCUAAGAGAUGACUUUAGACUCAUUAUGUGCUCCUUAGUUUCAACAGGUAUGUUUGGGAGUUUCUUUGUUGAGCGAAAAACAACUCUGAGCCGCCUCGGACGGAUAUGGUCUGAUAACUGUGCUUGCAGUGAACAUUACAGGAAAAAGUACCUUCUCUUAUGAUACUUGCUAGAGCUGUAAUUUGAGUCGGGCGAGCUCGAGCUCGCCCGACUCGAACUCUUUUAACCGGGCUCGGCUCAGCUCGACUUGCUAAACGAGUUAAAUUCGGGCAAAGGUUCCGGCCCGUUUAAUUAAACGAGCCAACUUGACUCGACUCGUGAAAUUAAACGAGCCGAGUUUGGGUAGAGAUUUAGACUCGACUAAGUGUAAAAUUAUAUGAGCUAGCUCGCUCGACUCGUUAAAACCGGCUCGUUUAGCUAAACGGCUCGGCUCGACUCGACUCGUGAAAUUAAACGAGUCGAGUUCGGGCAGAGGUUUAGGCUCGAUUACCUAAACAAGACGGCUCCACUGAAAUCGAUUAUACUUGGCACGAAUUAGGCUCGGCUUGAAACUCAGCUUGCUCGACUCGAAUUACAGUCCUGAUACUUGCAAUGAUCACAGGGUUGAAUGGCGUUUAGGUCAAUCAACUCAUCACAAACUUUCAGUUGGGUCUUCCAACUCAGAAAAGCGGCUUCGGAAUCUGGGAAACGAAUGGAUUCAUCGCCAAAUGAUAGACAUGUUGUGUUCACAAGUGUCACCCCUUUUUUCCUGUUUUCUGGAAAAUCUGGGGACAUGCUGGGUCAUUCCUGUCUGCAUUUUAACAUAAAAAGAAAAUCGAAAUUAAUUGAGCUUAACAAACGUACUGCUGAAAUAUAAAGUCAUAUUCGAGUUGAGGAAUAUUACUUGUUAAGGAAGCUUAAUUCAUUCACCUCAUAGCAUUCUGAGAGCUCAUGUGGAGAUUGGACAGAAGAAUGCGAUGAGUGUUAGUAUGCAGCAUUGAUGUUGGAGAAGAAACAAAUGGUAUUGUUGGCUUAAGAUCAGCUAGAAUCAAACCCGGAAUCCAGGAACACGGAGAAUGAACCUUUACCAUUUGGCCAAUCCCAUUGUGCUCAAUUGUCCCAUUGUCCUCAAUUGUAUAUGAUGAGUGAUAGUCUAUGGAGGCGUUUGGUUCUUGGUUAAUGAGCCUGAGAAUCCGAACUUGGCACACUUCAGAUGAAUAAAGACAUAUCCCCAUAUAAAGAGGCCCGUGGGACGCUUGUUCCCAUCCACGUCAUACACCUCUAUCCAACCAUCAUCCAAUCAAAGGACAUGAUUAAGGUACCAAUCCCUAGGCGCCGGCCUAUAAAUAGACCAAUGAAUGAGACAUUCAGGGAUUAUUUUAUCUCGACUUAUCAUCAUCAUUCACACACCAUGUUUAGUAUAACCUUAUUUAUUCUCAAAAAUCGUGUUAUAUUCUCACGCCGGAGGUGUCGUGAGGCCACAACCCCUCCGACAUUGUUUUGUAGGUUCCCAACUUCAAGCUACACGGAGGAGUACUAGGGCGUGAUUUGGCGUUAUCAACGAGGAUAAAGCCUUACCAUUUGACCUAUCCCAUUCUGCUCAAUUUGGCUUCUUUCUCUUCUCUAUACCUCUAUAAACUUAAAAACUUAAAAAAAUAAACUUAAAAACUUGCACUCUGUCAUUUGGCUUCUUUCUAUUCUCUAUACCUCUAUAAGCCCUUCCAUUUCAAAAUGUCAUCUGAGUGUAAAUAUUAACCUUCACAACUAUAAGUUAUAGACAAUGUGGGUGUUUAAAUGUGUAUUAUCCUCUUCUUCUGAAGCAAAAAUUCACCCCGGUGAUGACAGAACCCAAAUUUCUAAUAAUUCUGAGCAAUUUGUUGGUUCUGAAACCAUGCACUGCAGAAUAUAACUACAUAAACUGCAUGUUCAUUUAGCACACUUCACAACAAUAUACUGAAUACUAACAUAAAACAUCCUAGGUAGUUGAAGUUAUAACCACCGCAGUAAAUUUUAAUCAAAUUAUACUAAUCCUGAUAAUCCUAAAUACCAUGUCUGAGUCCUCACAAAAAAGAAAAAAGUGCCAGGUCUGCGGUGAAGAAUUGCAGCAGCGGCGUAUGUUCCAUAUGUCUAAUGUCUUAUUCCUCAGCUUUCUCAGAACAAGCUUCAGGGACGUGUCGCUACCACUGUCUGGUAUAACUCUUGUGCACUGUCAUGUUGCCUAUUCUUAUCGAUUUCGUUUAACUGCUUUGGCUACUAAUCUAGGAAAAUCAAUGUACGAUGCAUUCUCUAUUACAGAGUCAAAGAAAUAUUGAAAAAAACUGUACUUAUUUGAAUAGUUGAUGUGAAGGCAGGUUGUAAAAUUUUUCACGGAAAAAAAACCCUUAAAGGCGUAUUUACUUGAUACGGAUGCAUCUUACUGGAGAUCCCUCAGCACCAACCAAUCUCAGUGGCAAGCAGUGGACAGUAUACUCCAACAUCAAUGUUAUCUAACUUAAGACCUUCGACGAGGAUGAUCUGCUACAGGAUUUCAGCAAGUUAAUAAUGAAAGGAUCAUCAUUCUUCUUUGCAAGGCUAUUAACAUCAAUUUCAGAGCAGCCAAUGAAUCCGAAGAAAGGUUAAAACAUAUAUAAAAGCAUCGAAAUUUCUGAACACAGGGUACUAUAUUCUUCUUAUAUAUAGGUUACUGAGCAGAAUAUAUACUUUUGUUAUGACAUAGAAGAAAUGAUCUAUCGUAGUAAAUGAUACAUCUCCAUAAGCAGAAUCAGAGAAUUCAUAAUAUAUGAUGGAUUAUUUCUUACUCUGCUCUCAAGGAAAACAUGGUAGGACGCAAUUAAGAUCAUUAUAGGCAGCGACAUGGCCUUUUGGAUUAGCUCAAAAGAAGUGCUUAUUGCUUAUAUGUGAGAAGGUACUUUUAUAUUGUUACAAAUAUUCUCUAAUUUUAACUAUGCUGAGAGCUUGUGGAAAUCCAAAAUUUUGUCUUGUGCACACUAUAGGAAAUAUAUUUUAAAGAGAAUAUUGCAUCCGAAACUUAAGGGUCGUGUCAUUCCUUAUCAAUCUUUUAGAACUCAUGUUUAUCCCCAGUCAUCUUAGUCACUUAUAUCCUAAAUCUUGGACAGUAUCUUAAUUUGAUGAAUUACUGCACUGACAAACACCAGAAUAUAGAUCCCUUUUGCCGUGGUAACUUGUCACACUUCACGGCAGAUCUCUACUUAUUCUAUAAAUACCAUCCUUAAGCCUUAUUACUAAAACCAACUUAGGAAGCUCUUCACCGAUCUUGUUUGAUCUUUAAGUAUUCACCAAAACCUAACGUAAACAAGAAUGGGCUUCGCAAGCUUCACUGAUGAGUACACUUCCCCUAUUGCUCCAUCAAGGCUCUUCAAGGCCUCCAUCGUCGACUCUCACAACUUGAUUCCAAAGCUCUUGCCCCAAGGUAUCAAGAGCAUCGAACAUAUUCAAGGUGAUGGAGGAGCCGGAAGCAUCAAGCAAAUCAACUUCAUUGAUGGUUCGCUCUUUUUUCUCGCGUUUAUUUUUACCACUUGCUUCUAAAAUACUCAUGAUCAUACAUAAACACACAUAUUGACUCCAGUUAUAAAAUUCUACUGGUUAUACUGAUCGGAUAACAUCAAUAUUACUCAUGUAGGUCGCACUUUUAAUAGUGUCAAGUACCACAUUGACGAGCUUAAUGAAGACAAGUACAAUUACAACUAUACACUGUUGGAAGGCGACGCCUUGGUGGAAAAUCUUGAAAAAAUAACUUACGAGGUUAAGUUUGAGUCGUCUCCUAGUGGCGGUACCAUCUCUAAGGUAACAAGCAAGUACUAUACUAAAGGAGAAUUCAUGCUUAAAGAAGAGGAUAUCAAGGCGGGCAAGGAAAAGGUUCUAUCCAUGUACAAAGUUGUCGAAGCCUAUCUCAUCCUAAACCCUGAUGCCUAUGUCUAGAGGUUUUGUAUUCUCAAUAAUUGUUAAGUUCUCUCCAAUAGGUUCAUACACAGACAUAUGGUCUGACUUGUUGUUUUCAGAUUGAUUUGUACUUGUUUGUUCGGGAAUAAGGAGAGUUUGGUUUCUUUAAAGAACAAUGACAACAAACAUAAUUCAUAAAUUUUGGCAAGUAUUUGUUGAAAAUAAAUUGUCCGCAUAGCGGAAAAAUACAAAUCUUAAGGAUUAAAUGCUUAAAAACGCAGAUAGGCGACAUGUCCCCUCAUUCACAUCAGAAAACAGGUGUUAUGUCUUUGAGCGAUAAAAAUAUCACGGAAAGAUUGCUGCAGAACAGAACAAUCUGCUUACAUGCAGUCUGAAUAGGUGCAAAAUGUUAGCCAAGAUCAUGAUUUUGCAGUGCAUCGAGAGGAAUUUAGGAUCAUUCGUUAAACCUGAAUAAAAUUUUUUGAACAAUUAAAAUAUUUAGAUGAAUGAUAAAUAUAAACACCAAAGAAGUGGUGAUUUUUGAUAAAAAUUUCAAUAUUUGUUGAAUGAUGAAAUUUAUUAUUUUAAGAACUUAGAAUUCUUAUAUAUAUAUUCCGUUAUUACUACAUGUAGAUAGAUAAAUUUAAUUAUUUGAUGAAAAUUUGUUAUUUUUUCUACACAUGAAUUUGAAUAAUUCAUUUAAGUAAUAUAGAAAAUACAUGUUAACAAUCCAAAAUAUUUUAUGACAGAACUUUAUAAAAAUUUAUAGUUUAAACCAAGACCCAUCCUAUGCUAAUUUUAAUACAGUAUCUUAAAAUUUAAAACAAGAGAUCAAAUAAACUCAAAAAGGUCAAAAAGGUUAAGAACAUUAUAGUUCCAAUUAUAUUAAAAAUUAUGUAUGAUACAAGUGAACCACUGAGGUUCACUUGUGUGAGAUGAGUCUCCCAAUUGUUUUUACAUAAAAGAACAAUUUAAACAUUCCUACAAGGCCUGACAAACCUACUUUCAACAGAACUCGCGACAACAUGAAUACUUAGCUCACUAAUGUUUAGUCUGUCACACCUCGCCAAGAAUAAAGAAUAAUUUCUUCAAUUUCACAUAAGUUAAAAUCAUAUAUACGAAAUUAGUAGUUAACAUCUUUUGGAGUCAUGGGGGUGUGUAGCUAACAUUGAGCAACCUGGAUAGUAAAUCUUGUUCCUCUUGGUAUCCACAUACAUAUCAAACCUGUUCCGUCUCUAGAUUGACCUCCUCAUAUCACUGCAAUCUUUCUCUUAGUAGUAUCAGAAAUUUUACACCAAUCGCCACCUCAGAGUGACUCAGACACAUCAUGCAAACCUGACUUUUAGCAACAUUUACUGAGAGGAAUAUAAAAACGUUCUCCAACUAGUAGGAUUCAUUCACAUCAUUAUCAAAGCUGACAAGGCACAACAACUUUAGACAACAUAAUAUAUUAACUAAACCACCUCAACAUAAGUACCCUUAGUUGCCAAGUCAGACAAUUAAGUAUGUACCUGGAGUACAUGUUACAGUACAGAACCAUCCAGGAAGUCCAACAAAACAAGAAACAUGAGAGGUUGUGGUUGAAAAAUUUUAUCAUCAGAAGUAAUUUAAAGAUAAAAAGCCUAGCACGGGAUGUAAUCCAAUUAUUUUUUGACUCCUUCAAUAAUGACCGCUAUCAGCUUCUAAGUCACAUUAAGAAUAAUUCCAGAGCCUCUACUAAACUUCAGUUCUGUCUUCAUCCUCCGUUGUACAUAUUGACCUCUGGACUCUUUUAAGAAUAUGUUUCUACAAAUAUUUGCUGAGGAGUAUAUCUAGAAUAAAGUUAUCUCAAUAUAUGCAUUAUUUGAGGUAGUACAUAGGCUUCUUUUAUUAUUUUCAGAUGCUGAUUUCUUCUUUUUGUAUAUGAGAGGCAUCGAGAUACUAAGUUUCAAUUCUGAAUGACAACUUCAACAGAGACUGUACUCAAUACAAAUUGAAGACAUAGUCUUACUGUCUCAAAUCUAUUGUCUAUUAGCUCUUAACAAAUUGAUGGAACCCCUUACAUUGCUAAUUAGAAUAAUUCUUUGCUCAGCAAAACAUAUUACUGUAGCAGAAAACUAAAGGAAGAUAAAAUAUGACAAUACAAAGCAAUGAACCGUAAAAUUCAGUACCUAUUGAAAAAACCAUUUGCAGAAAGCAAGAACAGAGGGGUCUUGUUCUUCUUUAGAUAAUAGGUCUAGUACCAUGGAUGUGGAAGAUGCAUCUUCUGGGAAUUUACGAGCUCGCAUGUUCUCUAUCAAUACAACUGCUUCUUCAUAUCUUUUAUUUAAAAGACUUGCACGGAUGAUCGUGUUGUAAGUUACACUGUCAGGUAAACAACCAGUAACUUCCAUUUUAGAAAGUAAUACCUUUGCUUCCUCAACUAACCCUUCUUGACAAAGUCCUCUGAUCAUUGUGUUGUGUGUUAUGACGUCAGGUUGCAAACCUCUCGAAGCAAACUUAUCAAAAAUAUUUCUGGCCUCGUCAAGUUUUCUGUUCUUGCAGAGACCAUCGAUGAGGAUAGUAUAGCUAUAACAGUUUGGCACUAUCCCAUUACUCCUCAUGGUAUUCAGCACCUCUAAUGCCCUGUCAGUGUUGCCUCUUAGACAAAAUCCAUCCAUAAGCGUAUUGUAGGUGACUACAUCAGGAGGCACACCUUUCUGGAUCAUAAUCGCAAUCACAUCUUCUGCAUCUGUUGUCCUCCCUUCUUUGCAGUGUGCAUCGACCAGUAUAUUAUAGGUGUGCAGAUCAGGAGAGAUCUUCCUAACACCCAUCUCACUUAACAACGGCCCAAUGUCCUCCCACCGGCUGGAGCUGCACAGACCUUGAAGUAAUC